UCCCGGGAAGUCCUCGUGUUGC
rnacentral:siRNA from 1 species